GAUGAACGCUGGCGGCGUGCCUAAUACAUGCAAGUCGAGCGAACGGACGAGAAGCUUGCUUCUCUGAUGUUAGCGGCGGACGGGUGAGUAACACGUGGAUAACCUACCUAUAAGACUGGGAUAACUUCGGGAAACCGGAGCUAAUACCGGAUAAUAUUUUGAACCGCAUGGUUCAAAAGUGAAAGACGGUCUUGCUGUCACUUAUAGAUGGAUCCGCGCUGCAUUAGCUAGUUGGUAAGGUAACGGCUUACCAAGGCAACGAUGCAUAGCCGACCUGAGAGGGUGAUCGGCCACACUGGAACUGAGACACGGUCCAGACUCCUACGGGAGGCAGCAGUAGGGAAUCUUCCGCAAUGGGCGAAAGCCUGACGGAGCAACGCCGCGUGAGUGAUGAAGGACUUCGGAUCGUAAAACUCUGUUAUUAGGGAAGAACAAAUGUGUAAGUAACUGUGCACAUCUUGACGGUACCUAAUCAGAAAGCCACGGCUAACUACGUG
rnacentral:rRNA from 1 species